rnacentral:lncRNA from 1 species
AUAUAUACACGUGUUAUUUGUUUGAAGUUUGAACCAUAACAUGGCUCUACACAAAUGUCAUCAAAUCACAUGAGCAGCUGCCCGUUUUCGUUACUACGAGAGUAACAAUCUUGCAGUAAAACUUUUUUCACAUUAGUAGAUGAAAAAAUAUUGCGUCAAUUCAUCCGAAACCACAUACUACAUUAAGCAUGGGGAGAGACAAUUUGGAUAUUAAUAUUGCUACGUAAGGUAACGAUUUCAAAGAAAAUGCAGUCCAGAAUUUUUUUUAAGAAAAUCUCACAAAUAAGGAUAUACCUCACUGGACCACAUACAUUGCUUAGAGAAAGAAACUACAGCACCAAAACAAUGCUC